UACCCGAACAGGCAGCCUCGUCGGGUGACGAGGACGCAAAGCCAGGGGCCUCCCCGCUGGAGGUUGCCCAGCCGCCGAA
rnacentral:ncRNA from 1 species